UACGAAGGGAGCUAGCGUUGUUCGGAAUCACUGGGCGUAAAGCGCACGUAGGCGGAUUUGUAAGUCAGGGGUGAAAUCCCGGGGCUCAACCUCGGAACUGCCUCUGAUACUGCAGAUCUUGAAUCCGGUAGAGGUGGGUGGAAUUCCUAGUGUAGAGGUGAAAUUCGUAGAUAUUAGGAAGAACACCGGUGGCGAAGGCGGCCCACUGGAUCGGUAUUGACGCUGAGGUGCGAAAGCGUGGGGAGCAAACAGG
rnacentral:rRNA from 1 species